rnacentral:rRNA from 1 species
UACGAAGGGGGCUAGCGUUGUUCGGAAUCACUGGGCGUAAAGCGUACGUAGGCGGACCGUUAAGUCGGGGGUGAAAUCCCAGGGCUCAACCCUGGAACCGCCUUCGAUACUGGCGGUCUGGAGUCCGGGAGAGGUGAGUGGAACUCCUAGUGUAGAGGUGAAAUUCGUAGAUAUUAGGAAGAACACCAGUGGCGAAGGCGGCUCACUGGCCCGGUACUGACGCUGAGGUACGAAAGCGUGGGGAGGCAAACAGGG